rnacentral:rRNA from 1 species
GACGAACGCUGGCGGCGUGCUUAACACAUGCAAGCCGAACGGAAGGGCCUGCUUUCCCUUGUGGAUUGCGGGUACUCGAGUGGCGAACGGGUGAGUAACACGUGAGUGAUCUGCCCCCAACUUGGGUAUAAGCCUGGGAAACUGGGUCUAAUUCCCGGUAGGACUGCAGGGUGGUGCCUGUGGUGGAAAACGAUUUUCUAGUGGUUGGGGAUGAGCUCGCGGCCUAUCAGCUUGUUGGUGGGGUAAUGGCCUACCAAGGCGGCGACGGGUAGCCGGCCUGAGAGGGUGGACGGCCACAUUGGGACUGAGAUACGGCCCAGACUCCUACGGGAGGCAGCAGUGGGGAAUAUUGCACAAUGGGCGGAAGCCUGAUGCAGCGACGCCGCGUGGGGGAUGACGGCCUUCGGGUUGUAAACUCCUUUCGACCGCGAGGAAGCCACCUGGUUGGAAGGGUGGUGACGGUAGUGGUAGAAGAAGCACCGGCUAACUACGUG